UUUCAGAGAAAAGGACCACAAACUGAAAACUUUCCACUUCAUCGAACCAAUCGCUGCUCGUAUGUCCUUUCAUGGUAAAGUACAUCUAGUCAUGAACAAAGAAAUACACAGCAAAGACCUUGUUACUCAAAGACCCAGCUACUCUCUGACAGUCACCAUCACACCAUCAGACCACCAGAUGGACAGGCUGUAUGUCACUCUGAUUGCAUUCUUAUGUGCUGUUUCCUCCAGUCAGGAUGGGAUCUCUGCAGCAGAGGUGGAGCUGAGAGUCAGACCAGGAGACAACAUCACUCUCUACUGUGAC
rnacentral:lncRNA from 1 species